UUCCUAAAGCUUGCGUGCAGGAUACUUCUACUAAGUAAGAAACAAAUUCAAUUUUUAAAUAAUUAAUUAGUGGAUUUGUGAAGCCUGGGUUAUUGUAUUCUGAGUUCUAAACCCUUUUUCAUCGCUUUCCUUUUCUGCCCGUUAAAUAAAUAAAAAAAUAAUAAUAAAAUGGUCCUCAAUGCUUAUUUACUUACCAUGAUGCCCCUACUUCCUUGCUAAAACUACUAGGAAGCCACUAGCUUUUGUUGGCUUAGAAGCUGCCUGAUGGGAAUCGGACGCAUCGAAGAGGCCACCGGACGUGUUAUUAUAUCCGUGUUAUUUCUUUGCCACGCUGUCAUACAACUGGUUCUGGAUAUAAGUACAAAAUUAUUCUUUAGCUCUUCGGUUUCCACUUCAUUGUUACUUUUUAGCGACCAAAGUGAUCCUGUGUUUUUUCUCUGCCUGUUUCUAAAAUAAUUACAAUAGAGGAGGACAUCCUUGUCCUUAGAAAAGAAUUGUGCUUUAUCAGGGGCUUUACUUUUUUAAAUGUACACUACUUGUCUGAUAAAACUAUAAACACCGCAUAGAAAAACACAGAGACGAGGCAGCGUUCUUAUUGAAAUCAGGGGUUUAUCUAUCAAACCGAACCUCACUCGAUGUGCGACACGGCAAGAUGCACGUGACAUAGUGCCGUACCUCGAGGAACCAGUGUUACAAAAAAAAUCAAAAAUUCUCCACCGUCGGAUCAGGAUCCUACGGUGACCAAGGCUCUUCAUCCUCGAAAAUUCGAAGAUGAUGUGGUCGGAUAGGCAAUGGGAAAAGGCGGCCCCAGACGUCGCACGCGGUCCUUUUUGACUGAUGGAAAAAGGAGGGAGGUAAAAAGUCAACAAGCGAGCUUCUGUUCACACCCGACGAUGGUUACCGUCUAGAAUUUGAUCGCAGCCACUUACCGGGGAUCAGAUGGUAGAUGAUACUGGAGGAUUAAAA
rnacentral:lncRNA from 1 species